GUGUGUCUGUGAGUGUAUGUGUGUGUCUGUGAGUAUGUAUGUGUGUGUGUACAUAUAUAUAUAUAUAUAUAUAUAUAUACACACAUAUAUAUAUAUAUAUACACACACACACAUACACACGCAGAGCCGG